rnacentral:rRNA from 1 species
GAUGAACGCUGGCGGCGUGCCUAAUACAUGCAAGUCGAGCGAACGGACGAGAAGCUUGCUUCUCUGAUGUUAGCGGCGGACGGGUGAGUAACACGUGGAUAACCUACCUAUAAGACUGGGAUAACUUCGGGAAACCGGAGCUAAUACCGGAUAAUAUUUUGAACCGCAUGGUUCAAAAGUGAAAGACGGUCUUGCUGUCACUUAUAGAUGGAUCCGCGCUGCAUUAGCUAGUUGGUAAGGUAACGGCUUACCAAGGCAACGAUGCAUAGCCGACCUGAGAGGGUGAUCGGCCACACUGGAACUGAGACACGGUCCAGACUCCUACGGGAGGCAGCAGUAGGGAAUCUUCCGCAAUGGGCGAAAGCCUGACGGAGCAACGCCGCGUGAGUGAUGAAGGUCUUCGGAUCGUAAAACUCUGUUAUUAGGGAAGAACAUAUGUGUAAGUAACUGUGCACAUCUUGACGGUACCUAAUCAGAAAGCCACGGCUAACUACGUGCCAGCAGCCGCGGUAAUACGUANGUGGCAAGCGUUAUCCGGAAUUAUUGGGCCGUAAAGCGCGCGUAGGCGGUUUUUUAAGUCUGAUGUGAAAGCCCACGGCUUCANCCGUGGAGGGUCAUUGGAAACUGGAAAACUUGAGUGCAGAAGAGAAAAGUGGAAUUCCAUGUGUAGCGGUGAAAUGCGCAGAGAUAUGGAGGACACCAGUGGCGAAGGCGACUUUCUGGUCUGUAACUGACGCUGAUGUGCGAAAGCGUGGGGAUCAAACAGGAUUAGAUACCCUGGUAGUCCACGCCGUAAACGUUGAGUGCUAAGUGUUAGGGGGUUUCCGCCCCUUAGUGCUGCAGCUAACGCAUUAAGCACUCCGCCUGGGGAGUACGACCGCAAGGUUGAAACUCAAAGGAAUUGACGGGGACCCGCACAAGCGGUGGAGCAUGUGGUUUAAUUCGAAGCAACGCGAAGAACCUUACCAAAUCUUGACAUCCUUUGACAACUCUAGAGAUAGAGCCUUCCCCUUCGGGGGACAAAGUGACAGGUGGUGCAUGGUUGUCGUCAGCUCGUGUCGUGAGAUGUUGUGUUAAGUCCCGCAACGAGCGCAACCCUUAAGCUUAGUUGCCAUCAUUAAGCUGGGCACUCUAAGUUGACUGCCGGUGACAAACCGGAGGAAGGUGGGGAUGACGUCAAAUCAUCAUGCCCCUUAUGAUUUGGGCUACACACGUGCUACAAUGGACAAUACAAAGGGCAGCGAAACCGCGAGGUCAAGCAAAUCCCAUAAAGUUGUUCUCAGUUCGGAUUGUAGUCUGCAACUCGACUACAUGAAGCUGGAAUCGCUAGUAAUCGUAGAUCAGCAUGCUACGGUGAAUACGUUCCCGGGUCU